rnacentral:rRNA from 1 species
UACGGAGGAUGCGAGCGUUAUCCGGAUUUAUUGGGUUUAAAGGGUGCGUAGGCGGGCCUUCAGGCCGGCGGUAAAAUUGCGGGGCUCAACCCUGUCGAGCCGUCGGAACUGGCAGUCUUGAGUGGGCGAGAAGUAUGCGGAAUGCGUGGUGUAGCGGUGAAAUGCAUAGAUAUCACGCAGAACGCCGAUUGCGAAGGCAGCAUACCGGCGCCCAACUGACGCUGAGGCACGAAAGCGUGGGGAUCGAACAGG